rnacentral:rRNA from 1 species
GUCUACGGCCAUACCACCCUGAACGCGCCCGAUCUCGUCUGAUCUCGGAAGCUAAGCAGGGUCGGGCCUGGUUAGUACUUGGAUGGGAGAACAUGUCACAUACGCAGUAAAUGUUGGAG